rnacentral:rRNA from 1 species
UACGGGGGGGGCAAGCGUUGUUCGGAAUCACUGGGCGUAAAGCGCUCGUAGGCGGAUCUUUAAGUCAGAGGUGAAAUCCCAAGGCUCAACCUUGGAACUGCCUUUGAUACUGGGAUCUCGAGUCCGGGAGAGGUGAGUGGAACUGCGAGUGUAGAGGUGAAAUUCGUAGAUAUUCGCAAGAACACCAGUGGCGAAGGCGGCUCACUGGCCCGGUACUGACGCUGAGGAGCGAAAGCGUGGGGAGCAAACAGG